rnacentral:rRNA from 1 species
GUGCCAGCAGCCGCGGUAAUACGUAGGGUGCGAGCGUUAAUCGGAAUUACUGGGCGUAAAGGGUGCGCAGGCGGCGUCGCAAGUCAGGCGUGAAAUCCCCGGGCUUAACCUGGGAACUGCACUUGAAACUACGAUGCUGGAGUAUGGCAGAGGGAGGUGGAAUUCCACGUGUAGCGGUGAAAUGCGUAGAGAUGUGGAGGAACACCGAUGGCGAAGGCAGCCUCCUGGGCCAAUACUGACGCUCAUGCACGAAAGCGUGGGGAGCAAACAGGAUUAGAAACCCCCGUAGUCC